CUUCCUGGCUGGCCCUUGAACCUACAGUACAGCCAGCCUUGUAUCCAGCCCUGUUCCCUGGCUGGACCUUGAACUCACAUGGCAGUCAACCUUGACCCUGGUGCUCUCUUGCAGGAAAACCUGGCUGCACCUCCUGGAUGGACCACAGACCUAGUUCAGUAUCCGUGUCUGGGUCUGUUGGUGAACUGGGACCCUACCACCACCCUGGCCCUGCUGGGCUGUGGGACUACCUUCUUGCUGGAGGUUCUACUACACAAAGCAGCAAGCUGCUACAUGUCUCUUGUAACUGUGGGUACAGAGGAAUUUACAAUCUUGGAAGGUGCUGUUGGACUUCAAAUUACCUGUCUCUAGGGAAGAAAGCUGGUUAAAAACCAGUUGCUCUUGAAUUCAUCUUUCACACAAAUAUUAUGAUGUUACUCCAAGGUCCUGGGAUGAAUAAUAUCAAAUAAACCUCCAAGAUUUUAAGAGGCUUUUGUGUGAGGAUAGGUGACUAUGAAAGAGAGGGAAGACAAGUAUAUAUCAUGAAAAACAGAGUGAGAAAAGAAACGGAGAGCUGAUUGUGUGAAAGAGACACCCUGGGAAAGCAUCAGAGAAAAGGGAAAGAAACAGAUCCCAAUUUUUGUAAGUAUGUCUCUUCAGGACUGAGACUGUGCCAAACCUUGGACUUGGAGGCUGUUCUGUCCUUAAUACAUUGCACAUGAU